AUGGAGCUUUAAACACUUAAGUUACUAUCUUAUUUAUUAAAUAUCUAAAGACUUAACCAUUCCAAUAGUAAUCUAACUUAAUGUUUUCGGUUGGGGCGACCAAGGAGUAAAAGAAAACCUCCUCAUCGAUUGAGUAUUUUUACUUAAAAAUCAGAAUGACAAUUCUGAUUAAUAGAAUAUCUAACGAAUAAUGACCCAGGGCUAUACCCUGAUCAAUGAACCA
rnacentral:rRNA from 1 species